CCGCUGGGUGCUCCGUGUGUCCCCUCCGGGGUCCAUGCCGAGCCUUAGGAGCUGCGCACCUCUCCAGGCUCCUCGGAGCCCAUCUGCAGGUGGCGGUGGUGUCCCGCCGCGUAGAGAUGUAUGUUCCCGCUGCUCCCCCCCUCCUGUUCCCCCCAGGAUCGAUGGGGGGAUAUUUUCGAUGUCACGGCGAUGAUCUCCAUACGCUAUAAAUAGCUCAGAAACGGGUAUUAACCACGAGUGCUCCGCCCCCUCCCCCUGCCCGCAGCGUGGGCCGGGCUGCGUGUCCACCUCCGCCCCCAGCAGUCACUGUGCCAGAAGCAACUCGACCCGACAGCGCUCGGCUGCUCCAUGAAAUAUUCAUAGCCCCGCGCCCGUCUGGCAGGGGUCCCAGCCCGGGCCUUUCUGCGCCCCAGCACCGCACAGCGCGCAGGCCCUGCGGGCAAACCUCUGUUUCCCCUGCUGUAGGGACGUCCCAUCCACCGCCACAAGCCUGUAUUUAUUUUGCUUCUAUAUUUUUCCACCUUAUCUCAAACAGUCGGAGGUGUUUGUUCGGGUGCGGGACACCGCGGCUGGAUACCGCCUGAGUGCGCACAGGUUUUGCCGGGGGAUGCUCGUUUUGUCCCCUUCCUUUUAAAGAGAUGAGAGAGGCCCGGCGGGGUCGUUGCUUAUUCAUAGGGGUCAGGACCCUCCCUUACGUCCUGCAGCAUCUCGGUGCGCACUCGGGGUGUUUGCCCCCGCUGGGACCCCCAGCAGCACAUCCCGACCCCACACCCCAGCAGCGGCGUCUCGGUGCCAACGCGCUGCCACCGCCCGCUGCAGCCGCCGGCCGAACGUUCCCACUCGGGACGGCGCACCCCAAAUCGCACCGCCGGGCUGUGGCAGGGGUCAGCGCCUCCCCAAAAGCCAAGGGCUGUCACCCCGCGGUGCUGCCGGUGGCGGUCCCCAGGUGCUGCGGCGGCAGCGGGAGGAUGAGGGUGAGGAUGAGGAUGGGGUGGGCUCAGCUCGGCGGGGUGGGCAGGGCCUGCGGGGCCGGGCAGGGCGCACAGCUCCGGCUGCCGCCGCCUCGGAGCCAGCCCCGCCGCGCCCUGCCGCCUCCCCCUCCGCCCCCGGCCUCCCCUCCCCGCUCUGCCCCUCUCCUCCCUCCCCGACCCCCUGCCCCUGCCCCUGCCCCGUCCUUCCGCGCCUCUCCAGAGCCCGUCCGUCCGUCCGUCCAUCAGAGGCAGGGGUGACCAGCAAAACAAAAACCUGCCAAGGACCCCCUGCUUGAGGCUGUUUUAUUCCAGCUGCCAGGAGGAUGCUCCCAUUGGUUCCCAGAGUGCUGAGGUGUCACGCCCUCUUCCAGUUCUCCCCCUGCUGCCUGUGCUGCUGACCUCAGCCCUCUGCCCCUGGCCCCUAAAGGUGAGUCUCACUCCACUACUGUUCCUUGUAGGGCUUUGCUUGUGUUUUCCUUCCUUUCCUUUGUUUUGGUGAU
rnacentral:lncRNA from 1 species